UGCUGCAGUGAGUCUCCUUCAUGAGGUCUCUCCUUGGGGACUGAGAGAGAAUUCAGGUUCACAUACGUGAGUGUGACAAGGAGCCUCUUUGGAGUUUUCUCCUUUCCUACAACUAAUUUUGUUAUAAAACAGACGUCCCUAUUGAGAAGCAUGUCAACUUCUGGAUCAGGUCCAGAGAGUGUCCCAGGAGAGAGCCAGGGCCAUAAGGAGCUGCACAGGCCUGCCCCAAUUCACCAUCACCCUCCCUGAAUUUGACGUAAGUAGCCUUUGACCCCAGCUUACUGACUUUAGGAGUAGGUGGGCUAGCUCUGACUGACUGUAGGAUCUGCUGCUGCAGAGACUGUGGGUUAGGAGUGUUCCCCUUGGGGAGGCAGAGUCUGAGCAGGGAACAAGAUAAGCAGGAAAAGAAGAAUUUUACUCAAGCCUGGGCCUUUAAGAGGACCAUGCUCCAGCCAGGUUUUUGCCUGGCCUUGGGUCCUUUCUUAUCAUCCUGGAGCAGCUGGGGGAACAAGUCGUCAUAGAAGGCCCUGCCCACAUCCCUUUACUCCAGGCUUCCUUGGGGGCAGAGAGAACUAAGUGAUUGCUAGCGAGGGAGUCCAGAGACAUGGGAGAGUUGAUACCCAGUGACAUAACUACUAGGUAGCCCCACAGAUAAGCACAGCCCGCAUCACAAUUUGGCAGAGAAAGCAAAUAACAUCCCAGACUUGCUGUGAGGCCUAAAAAAGGGGGAAAAGGAUAGAGAUGGUAGAAGUAUUGAAGUGGCUACUGGACAGCCUCCAACAACAGGCGGCCUAACUGCAGAAACAACAGUACCAACUGUUCCAACAAAUGGCUGCCCAGGAGCAACAACAGGGGACACAACAACAGCAGCAGCUUAUUUAGGAGUUGACAGUGUAGCGAGGAGAACAGCAACAACACCUCAUCCAACAAAUAGUGACCCUCUGUGACAGGGUGUAGUUACCCCACACUGAAUAGGGAAGGGUUAACCCUGCAUAUUAAGCCAAGGAACCCACGCUCCCUCGCUCCUGCUGGGUGUGCUCCAACUGGAAUACUAGUAUAAAAAGCUCAGUCAGGGCUUAUUGCCGAAGAGGGAGGACGCACAUCACUGGCUCCAGCCCAGGAGCUGCUGAAGUCCCAGAUUGUGGAAGCCAGGCCUGCCAAGACCCAGGCAGAUACCUGGCUACCUGAUGUUGCCCAAGGAAGGUCAGAGCCAUGGAGAGCUGCCCAGGCCAAGGAACCUGGAGACCCCAGAAAUGCCUGCACUGCCGCAUCAGGAGACAGGGUAGGAAGUAGUCCAACGGGACUGUAUGUUGAUACUGUUAUAGAACCGAAGGUUAAGUCAGUGAGUUUUGGUAGGAUCCCUGCUGACCCAGAGAUGAGUGUACUUGUAGCUAACAGGGCUAUGGGCUGGGACCCAUUGGCGUAGGAAGGGCCUGGGUCCUCUACCCCAGCCAUCAUACCCCUGGGUGGUGUCCAUCCUCCUACAGCCAUUAAACCACAUCUAUACUGACUCUGGCCAUUGGGCCAGGCUGCACUGAGGUAAAGGACAGUCAGAUGGACUUAAUUAUGGGGCUGCAAAGCCUUUGUCCCUCCCAAGAGGGGGGCAGGAUGUACUCGCCUUGUAAUACCCUCUUACAACUUCAGGGGUCAAAUGUAAACCCUACAGCAAGACCUUCAAACAUCACUCCAGCUAGAAGCAUUCUGAUAAAACUCGCAAAGAAGAGGAGUGAAGAUGACCCAGAAGCCAUCGUCAUCACCUUUGAUGAGGAUGCCAUGGCAGCACAAUGGCCACCCAAACACUGUGCUGUUUUAUUGGCAGGGCCGUAACCAGGGCAGUGCGAGCGGGGCAGCAGUCCAGGGCACAGACUCAGGAGGUGGGUGCAGAAAAAUAGAAAAAAUAUCAUAGGGACUAGAGCCCUGCAACAGGAUGGGGAUCCCGAGGGUCCCACAGGAUCCAUUGCCAUAAUAGCAGGAGCUGGAUUAAAACUCAACAAACAAUGUGGAAGUAGGUGGGAGUGGAAAUUGGAGUGAGCAUUGUGGGGUGGGAUGGGAAGAAUAUUAAAAAAAUAGACCUCUUGUGAAGCAAGCAACAUGAACCUCCCAUCCAGCACCCACCACUCUCCAGCUGCCCGGCCCUGAAGGCAGUGCCACCAGCAGCAGCAGUGCAGAAGUAAGGGUGGCAAUACCAUGGCAUGCCAACCUUCUGUGCUGCUACUUGUGGCAGUGCUGCCUUCAGAGCUGGAGGCCAGGCCAGUGACCUCUGCUUUCCGGUCACCCAGCACUGAAGGCAGUACCACCACCACCAGCAGUGCAGAAGUAAGAGCGGCUGGCAAGGCAGUGAGCGGAACAAGUGGCUGAUGAGGUGGUGAGGAGCCGCAGCUGGCAGGGUGGCCAGGCAGAGCAAGUGCUCAGAUCACAGAGCAUGCAAGAUGCCUUCUUCCUCAGGUGCAAGAUGAACUCACAUACCACUCGGAAACCUGUCACGUAGAUGCACCUCUGAACCCUGGGCCCUCACUGACCAAGGACAACCACUAUCCAUCAAGACUGAGAGCUUAAAUUGAAUUCAGGAGUUCCAAACCAAAUCUCCAGAGGAGAGGGCAUAAAUCACAAGGCACUGAUCUUAUUUGGUUGGGUAGCAGGGAUGGCUGGAAUGUACUGUGGUCAAGAUAGCUAAGACAUGUCUGUGUCAAGCCUCUCCUCCGCCAAAAUGAGGCUACUCUACAGCAGAAAUGUACAUAUUCUGGGCAGCGGAGUCAACAUAGUGUCUUGUUGCACUUUCUGCAGUACCCUGAUUUGUGGAAGGCUCAGAAAAUUCAAGGGUGAAGCAAUGAUUACAUCCGUAUUGUUUUCAACCAUUAUAUACACAGCAUACUUCUUUUUUGAACACCAAAGCAGAACUGAAGUUUGUUUGUGGUGUAUUGCUUCAUUAAGGAUCUAUGGAUGAAAAUCCUGGCUCAGGAAAUAAUGGGGAUAAGCCACCACAAUGCAGGGGGUACUCCAAAGCCUUUAGGCACCACUACUUAAGUCCCUAAAAACCCUGUGUUAAGGACUCAUUUGGGAUGUUAGUGGUUUACAGGUAGUUUUAAGCGUCCUUUACGCUGGGAUGAAUUUCAGUUUAUGGAAUUAGAACAGAUUUUCCAAAAGCGACUGGAGAUUUUGGGUGUCCACAUUUUGGGUGCCCAAUCUGAGACACGAGAAAAGAGCCUGACUUGUAGAAAAUGCAAAGUACCCUCCAUGUGAAAAAGAGAUCCUGGUAAGGUUUCCCAAAUUGGGCACUCAAAAGUUGAGGCACCCCAAAAAAUCACUAGUUAUUUUUUAAUUCUUUGGCCUGCGUGGACACAUAUGGUAUAUGUGUUAUCAAUUAGAUCAUUGCUUGGACAUCGUAAAGGCAGAUGGACUUGAACCAACAAUGAAACUGAAACAGACAACGACCCUGUUUGUUUUGGGAUUUUUAGUUAGUUAAGCAUUAUU